ACUGGCUGCAAGGGAAUAAGCAGUAGGGCUGUGCAAAGCUUUGGGUGCUGAUUCGAUUCAGAAGAGAUUUGGCCCGACUGGUGGCCAAAUCUCCAAAUCUGAAUCAAAUCGGGGACCAAUUAAAAGGUCCGAAUCAAUCUGAAGCUCUCCGAAUCAGUUCGGAAAAGAUUUGGAGAGCUUCAGUGAUUUGGGCAGUCCCCUCUGGCUGCAGCAGGGAGCUGGACCUGGACUCCUUACUGGCAGAAUCCAUGGAAACAUGCCUGAGGGGUUUUUCCUACAUGGAAAGCUGUACCUGGUGAUGAAUCAGCAAAGGAUCAACUCAGGAGUUAUUUUAUUGCCUGUAUGCCAAUUCAGGGUGUGCUGUAUGUGAGAAAACAUGGAGCCAAACACAGAAAACCCUAAAUAGCAGAAUGAAGGAGGACUCCUUAUUUCAAGGCUGAUGUAGCUCCCUCAUACUAUUUAUGAAUUGUCACUCGCUUCAUGGCCCUUAGAAACUUAGUGUAUAAAUAAAAAUAUUUCCAAAGACUGUGAAAUACAAAAUCCUUUAGAAGUCUGCCCCCAGAAGACUGCUGGCUGAGGGAGAUCACAGAGAAUAAUGAGCAUGAUUAUCAAGCGCACGCACUCACUUGGAUUCCUUCAUGAACAAGCUUUUUUAUGACAGGGGAACAUAAAUAGGUUGGUGCUCCAAGGAUAGAAGAACUGUUUCUGCCAGAGUAAAACACCAAAUCAGCUACUAAGAUAGUUUUCUACAGCAACUUAUACAUAGUCAAAUAUUGCUGCUGUUGUGCCACUAAUUUAGUAAACAUUAAUUGUGUAGGAAAGAACAUAAAUUCUGACUUGUGUUAACUGGCUGAAGAAAAAUUUAAAUUCAAGCAAUAUCCCAUAAACAUAAACAAGAAAAAAAUGUCAGUAUUUGUAGACAGUCCUACAAGAUAGUUGGUCACAUCAGGCCAAAAAGCCAGGCCAACAUUUCUCUUCUUCUCUCAGACCUCUCAUCAGUCCUUUGGGAAAUAACUUUCAUUAUAUCUGCAGCCUUUCGAAUGGAAGAAUCCCAAAGAGUAUCACAUUCCCAGACAAAAACAUAUUUAAGACUGUAAAUACUUAUCAGCUGCUUCCAUUGAAACCUGUACUAAAAUAUAGCUAUAACACAAAAUGAACGCUAGGAACCUCUCAAGUCUGAUAUGAAAAACAAGCUUAAGUUUGGAAAUUCUGAAUUAAGUUUCCACAAACUUCUUUAAUUGCCACACCUGGUUAAAGGCCUGGUCUUGACCAGAAAAUGUGCUCUCAAGUUAACUAAUUUGGGUUAAUUAAAACAUGAUAACAUCCUACUGAAAACAAAGCAGUUUGCUGUUUUCCCAGGAGUUAUCAGGUUGAGUAAAGGCAAUCAAGAAGUCUUAUGAAAUACAUCACAAGAUUCUAAUGCCUACACGGAUUAGGACCAGAACCAAUGUAUUCUGUCAUUUGCUGUGGAAGUGUGCUUCAAAAUGUAAAUGUUUAUUUAUGGUAUUAAAAGUGGGUCUUCAGCCCUUGUGGCCAUUGAACACAACCUCAAACCAAAUGUGAAUGAAAUUUAAGGAAAGCAAAAUGGUCUGAGACUAGCAGACAGCUCUGAGACAUCCGAGCUAAAUUCCCCAUCUGUAAAAUGGGGAAAAUAAAACCUCCUUUCUCUUAUCAUUCCUCUGUCUUGUCUAUUUAGAAAUAAGAGAAACUUCCUACCCAAAGGUUUCAGUAUUUUUACACUGUUUAGUACAAUGGCCUGACCUCAAUUAGGGACUUCAAGAAAAUCUAUAAUUUCUUCAUUCCCCAUUAUUAAUUUCCCCAUUCACCUCAAUAGAAUAAUAGCUUUCAAACCUAAAACAAAGUUAUAAAUUUUAACAAUAAUGUCCCUGCAGUGGAAGCAUCCAGCAAAUUUGUCCAUAUAGGAACCUCAGACUGCCUCCCCUGGCAGAAGCCAAAAGCUAUAAUCAGCU